rnacentral:rRNA from 1 species
CAGCCGCCGCGGUAAUACCGGCGGCCCGAGUGGCGGCCACUAUUAUUGGGCUUAAAGCGUCCGUAGCCGGGUUGGUUAGUCUCCCGGGAAAUCUGGCCGCUUAACGGUCAGAAUUCCGGGAGAUACUGCCAGCCUAGGGACCGGGAGAGGCCGAGGGUAUUCCCGGAGUAGGGGUGAAAUCCUAUAAUCCCGGGAGGACCACCUGUGGCGAAGGCGCUCGGCUGGAACGCGUCCGACGGGGAGGGACGAAGGCCAGGGGAGCAAACCGGAUUAGAUACCCGGGUAGUCCUGGCUGUAAACGAUGCGGACUUUGUGUCGGACAAGCUAUGAGCUUGUCCGGUGCCGGAGGGAAACCGUUAAGUCCGCCGCCUGGGGAGUACGGCCGCAAGGCUGAAACUUAAAGGAAUUGGCGGG